AGGACGACGCUGGCGGCGUGCUUAACACAUGCAAGUCGAACGGAGCACCCUUGAUUGAGGUUUCGGCCAAAUGAUAGGAAUGCUUAGUGGCGGACUGGUGAGUAACGCGUGAGGAACCUGCCUUUCAGAGGGGGACAACAGUUGGAAACGACUGCUAAUACCGCAUGACGCAUUUUGAUCGCAUGGUCGAAAUGCCAAAGAUUUAUCGCUGAAAGAUGGCCUCGCGUCUGAUUAGCUAGUUGGUGAGGUAACGGCCCACCAAGGCGACGAUCAGUAGCCGGACUGAGAGGUUGACCGGCCACAUUGGGACUGAGAUACGGCCCAGACUCCUACGGGAGGCAGCAGUGGGGAAUAUUGGGCAAUGGGCGCAAGCCUGACCCAGCAACGCCGCGUGAAGGAAGAAGGCUUUCGGGUUGUAAACUUCUUUUAAGUGGGAAGAGUAGAAGACGGUACCACUUGAAUAAGCCACGGCUAACUACGUG
rnacentral:rRNA from 1 species